rnacentral:rRNA from 1 species
CUGUUCCGUAGGUGAACCUGCGGAAGGAUCAUUACCAAAAGUUAUGCGAACCCGGCUUAGGCCGCGGUACGCUUCAACCCUUUGUGAACCAAAAAACAUUUUCGCUUCGGUUNGCAGGGAGCGGUNGCGGGUAAAACCCAACCAAUUCCGUCAGCCUGCCGACAGCACCAAACCAUUAAACCUGUCGUCAAACAUUGUCUGAACAAUUUAUUUUCGAAUGAAAAUUAAAACUUUCAACAACGGAUCUCUUGGUUCUCGCAUCGAUGAAGAACGCAGCGAAACGCGAUAGUUAAUGUGAAUUGCAGAAUUCAGUGAAUCAUCGAGUCUUUGAACGCACAUUGCGCCUAUUGGUAUUCCAUUAGGCAUGUCUGUUUGAGCGUCAUUACAACCCCUCAGCGCAAGCUGGUAUUGAGCUGGUUGACCGUUAAAAAGUCGACCGGUUUUAAAGUUGUAAGCUCUGCUGGCUGCUACGCCUAACUAAAAACAUAGUAAACUUUUGCUUGUUUGACGGUGAGGCUUGCUAGACCGGCCUGAACAAAACCUACAAAUUUCUAAGGUUUGACCUCAGAUCAGACAAGGAUACCCGCUGAACUUAAGCAUAUCAAUAAGCGGAGGAAAAGAAACCAACAGGGAUUGCCUCAGUAACGGCGAGUGAAGCGGCAAAAGCUCAAAUUUGAAAUCUGGAGCUUUCGGCUUCCGAGUUGUAAUUUGAAGAGGAUGUUUCGGUCGCGGCUUGGGCCCAAGUUCCUUGGAACAGGACGUCAUGGAGGGUGAGAAUCCCGUACGUGGCUACCGGCUUGCUUCUAUGUGAAACUCCUUCGAAGAGUCGAGUUGUUUGGGAAUGCAGCUCAAAAUGGGUGGUAAAUUUCAUCUAAAGCUAAAUAUUGGCGAGAGACCGAUAGCGCACAAGUAGAGUGAUCGAAAGAUGAAAAGCACUUUGAAAAGAGAGUUAAACAGUACGUGAAAUUGUUGAAAGGGAAGCGCUUGCAAUCAGACUCGCUUUCGGUUGAUCAACGUUCCUUUUGGUUCGUGCACUCUGCCGUUUGCGGGCCAGCAUCAGUUGAAGCGGUGGGACAAAGGUUUCGGGAAUGUGGCUCCCUCGGG